GUUCAGUUCAGAUGUCCACUCUGACCAUUUGGUUUCCUGUUUAUAACGAUGACUGGGUGAUUCAAUUGAAGGAGAGGCCAGAUUCAAAUUUUUGAAUCAAAACAAGGCACAAAAAGGAAACAAGCACAUAACAAAGAAGGGAGCAUAUCACUUUCCUUUUCCCAAAACAGUUUAAACAUGAAAAUGGGCUGACUGGAAAGAGAUGCUGCAAACAAAGUCAAAAAUUAAUUUGAAUUCGAAGGAAGGGAUGGAACUGAGGAUUAAACCAAGCAUCGAGGUCCAGAGGCAACAUGAAGUGCAGAAGAAAAAAGACUGAAAAAAAAUUUUAAAAAGCAAAAAUGAC